rnacentral:snRNA from 1 species
ACUUUAUUCAGCAGAAUAUAAGAUAAAAUUGGAAUGAUACAGAGAAGAUUAGUAUGGCCCCUACACAAGAAUGACAUUCAAAUUCAUGAAGCAUUUUAUAUUUUU